AGCAGCAGCGAUGCAGUUCUCCAUUUUCACGGUGACCUUGGUUACUUUCAUUGUCGAUCUGAGCGAUGGAGUUUCUGUGACUCAGGGGGAGACCUCGCUCACGCAAACAGAGAGGGAAAGCGUCACUUUAACCUGCACGUACACCGGUGAUGUUGAUUACUUGUUCUGGUACCGCCAGUAUCCUGGCAGAAAGCCCGAGUUCGCAGUCCGUAGGUACAAGAGCGGCGGUGCUGAAUUCAAGGCGGAUUUUGCUCAGAAGCGGUUUUCUGACACAAUCCAGCAGUCAGACAAGUCAUACCGAUUGACCAUCUCGGAGCUGCAGCUGUCUGACACCGCUGUCUAUUACUGUGCAGUGAGACUCACAGUGAUGGGAACGAGCGAACGUCUCGUACAAUAA